CGGUAACAGGUCUUCGGAUGCUGACGAGUGGCGAACGGGUUGAGUAAUACAUCGGAACGUGCCCGAUCGUGGGGGAUAACGAGGCGAAAGCUUUGCUAAUACCGCAUACGAUCUACGGAUGAAAGCGGGGGAUCUUCGGACCUCGCGCGGACGGAGCGGCCGAUGGCAGAUUAGGUAGUUGGUGGGAUAAAAGCUUACCAAGCCGACGAUCUGUAGCUGGUCUGAGAGGAUGAUCAGCCACACUGGGACUGAGACACGGCCCAGACUCCUACGGGAGGCAGCAGUGGGGAAUUUUGGACAAUGGGCGAAAGCCUGAUCCAGCCAUGCCGCGUGCAGGAUGAAGGCCUUCGGGUUGUAAACUGCUUUUGUACGGAACGAAAAGGCUCUGGUUAAUACCUGGGGCACAUGACGGUACCGUAAGAAUAAGCACCGGCUAACUACGUGCCAGCAGCCGCGGUAAU
rnacentral:rRNA from 1 species